rnacentral:rRNA from 1 species
UUUAUGGAGAGUUUGAUCCUGGCUCAGGAUGAACGCUGGCGGCGUGCCUAAUACAUGCAAGUCGAGCGAACGGACGAGAAGCUUGCUUCUCUGAUGUUAGCGGCGGACGGGUGAGUAACACGUGGAUAACCUACCUAUAAGACUGGGAUAACUUUGGGAAACCGGAGCUAAUACCGGAUAAUAUUUUGAACCGCAUGGUUCAAAAGUGAAAGACGGUCUUGCUGUCACUUAUAGAUGGAUCCGCGCUGCAUUAGCUAGUUGGUAAGGUAACGGCUUACCAAGGCAACGAUGCAUAGCCGACCUGAGAGGGUGAUCGGCCACACUGGAACUGAGACACGGUCCAGACUCCUACGGGAGGCAGCAGUAGGGAAUCUUCCGCAAUGGGCGAAAGCCUGACGGAGCAACGCCGCGUGAGUGAUGAAGGUCUUCGGAUCGUAAAACUCUGUUAUUAGGGAAGAACAUAUGUGUAAGUAACUGUGCACAUCUUGACGGUACCUAAUCAGAAAGCCACGGCUAACUACGUGCCAGCAGCCGCGGUAAUACGUAGGUGGCAAGCGUUAUCCGGAAUUAUUGGGCGUAAAGCGCGCGUAGGCGGUUUUUUAAGUCUGAUGUGAAAGCCCACGGCUCAACCGUGGAGGGUCAUUGGAAACUGGAAAACUUGAGUGCAGAAGAGGAAAGUGGAAUUCCAUGUGUAGCGGUGAAAUGCGCAGAGAUAUGGAGGAACACCAGUGGCGAAGGCGACUUUCUGGUCUGUAACUGACGCUGAUGUGCGAAAGCGUGGGGAUCAAACAGGAUUAGAUACCCUGGUAGUCCACGCCGUAAACGAUGAGUGCUAAGUGUUAGGGGGUUUCCGCCCCUUAGUGCUGCAGCUAACGCAUUAAGCACUCCGCCUGGGGAGUACGACCGCAAGGUUGAAACUCAAAGGAAUUGACGGGGACCCGCACAAGCGGUGGAGCAUGUGGUUUAAUUCGAAGCAACGCGAAGAACCUUACCAAAUCUUGACAUCCUUUGACAACUCUAGAGAUAGAGCCUUCCCCUUCGGGGGACAAAGUGACAGGUGGUGCAUGGUUGUCGUCAGCUCGUGUCGUGAGAUGUUGGGUUAAGUCCCGCAACGAGCGCAACCCUUAAGCUUAGUUGCCAUCAUUAAGUUGGGCACUCUAAGUUGACUGCCGGUGACAAACCGGAGGAAGGUGGGGAUGACGUCAAAUCAUCAUGCCCCUUAUGAUUUGGGCUACACACGUGCUACAAUGGACAAUACAAAGGGCAGCGAAACCGCGAGGUCAAGCAAAUCCCAUAAAGUUGUUCUCAGUUCGGAUUGUAGUCUGCAACUCGACUACAUGAAGCUGGAAUCGCUAGUAAUCGUAGAUCAGCAUGCUACGGUGAAUACGUUCCCGGGUCUUGUACACACCGCCCGUCACACCACGAGAGUUUGUAACACCCGAAGCCGGUGGAGUAACCUUUUAGGAGCUAGCCGUCGAAGGUGGGACAAAUGAUUGGGGUGAAGUCGUAACAAGGUAGCCGUAUCGGAAGGUGCGGCUGGAUCACCUCCUUUCU